rnacentral:rRNA from 1 species
GAGACUCUGUGCGCGUGCAUAUCAAUAAGCGGAGGAAAAGAAACUAACAAGGAUUCCCCUAGUAACGGCGAGUGAAGCGGGAAGAGCUCAAAUUUGAAAUCUUAAAGGGUUUCCCUUUACGAAUUGUAGUUUAAAGAAGUGUUUUCUGUUGGAGUUUCGGUAAAAGUUCUUUGGAAUAGGACAUCAUAGAGGGUGAGAAUCCCGUAUUUGACCGUUACUUUCCAGCUGUGUGAUACACUUUCAAAGAGUCGGAUUGUUUGGGAAUGCAGUCCAAAAUGGGUGGUAAAUUUCAUCUAAAGCUAAAUAUUGGCGAGAGACCGAUAGCGAACAAGUACCGUGAGGGAAAGAUGAAAAGAACUUUGAAAAGAGAGUUAAACAGUACGUGAAAUUGUCAAAAGGGAAGCGUUUGACACCAGUGUUGUUUAGUUGAAAAUCAAUUCAAUAAUUUUUGAUUUUGAGUAGUAUUGACUUCAUCAGCUUGCUGCUUUCUUUUCAGAAAUUAUUGAAUGCACUUUUCAGUUAACAAGUCAACAUCAAUUUCUUUUGUUGUAAAAGGGUAAGAGGAAGGUGGCUUACGCUUCGGCGUAAGUGUUUAUAGCCUUUUACCUCUGCAAUCGGAGAGAUUGAGGACAGCAGCGUAGACUCUUCGGGGUUAGAUACACUUGUGCUAAGCUAUAGCCUUGUAUAGACAACUUGUUGACUAUGCUCAGUCAUGUAGCUUACUCGCUUGUGCUAUUUUACCUACGCUUAGGAUGUUGAUCUGUAGUGCGUGCG